rnacentral:rRNA from 1 species
CAGCAGCCGCGGUAAUACAGAGGGUGCAAGCGUUAAUCGGAAUUACUGGGCGUAAAGCGCGCGUAGGUGGUUUGUUAAGUUGGAUGUGAAAUCCCGGGGCUCAACCUGGGAACUGCAUUCAAAACUGACUGACUAGAGUAUGGUAGAGGGUGGUGGAAUUUCCUGUGUAGCGGUGAAAUGCGUAGAUAUAGGAAGGAACACCAGUGGCGAAGGCGACCACCUGGACUAAUACUGACACUGAGGUGCGGAAGCGUGGGGAGCAAACAGGAUUAGAUACCCCUGUAGUCCCUGUCUCUUAUAA